UUGGUCUAAAUCGAUAUGGAUCCUACGUUUUGAAAAUGAAACCUACAUAAAACAGUGUGACAUACAUUGAUUUCACCCAA
rnacentral:pre_miRNA from 1 species